rnacentral:sRNA from 2 species
GUGGUAUAGAGGGUACGAAUCACCCAACCCAAUCCCCCCAACACCCCCCCUCGGACCCACUCUACCAUCCGGCCAGCUGGGGGAACCUGGCUCUUCCUAAGUUCCACUACCCUACUGCCAUUGGUCCUUGGUGGCCUGGGGUCUUCCUGGGUGCCUAACCACCAAUCUCCCCCAUCUUGGCAAGAGAAUGUGCAUUAGCCACUAGGGCAAAAGAGCUCAAUCACCACCAGCGCCAUGGUGGUAUAGAGGUGUUAAAACAGCAAUUAUCCUGUGAAGCGUCUGAGCUUGCUGAGAUAAUAUGUGGAAAAAGAUAUGAAAGCCAGUUGGACCUCCGUGAUCCCAGUAAGUCACGUAAGUAGCUAGAAUAGGUAUACAUAAUGAAAAAAGGAGGCUGUUCAGAUUCAGCUAGAAUGAAAAAAUCAAGGUAAAAUAAGAGGAAAUAUAUAGCCCUUGCUAAAACUGGGACAUAUACGGAGGGGUAAGUCGCUUGACAGAUGAUGCGGAAUACACGUAAAUGGAAUCCAAAACAGGAGAGAAAAAAGAUUUAGACAAGAAUAAAAGGGAGUGCCUAAAUAUAUUAGCUCAGUCAUACUCCGGGCCCCGAAAGUGAAGUAGAAGGAAUCAAAAACCGAGAGGAUAGAAAAACAGAAUCGCGAAAAUCCUGCUGCUCCAUUGCAAUGCUCCUGAUAUCACAAAUCCCUGCUUUUCCAUUAUUUCCACGCCUUCCUUUUCCGUCCAACCUCAUCGCAACACAAUUGCAUUGUACUGACCGUUGUGCCUGAUGUACCCUUUUUCUAUCCCAUAACAUGUGCAGUAAAAACCGAAGAUCAGAGAAUAAUAGGAACAGAAGGAAAUAUACUUAAAAAGGAAGAAAGUAGAAACAUAAAAUAGAAAUAAAGAAAGCAAGUGAGGAGAGGAAAUCGAAAUUCAUAGAAAAAGAAAACAAAUACAAGAUAAGAACUCAAGGGAACAAGACAAAAAGCAUGAAAUUAUUAAACAAACAGGUACGACCGAGAUCAGGAAUUCGUACUCAUCCGGUGAACGAUCGGUACAGCACUGGGAGGUAAACUCCCCAUCUCCGUAAUGACCAUAUCGAUAUACUCAGCGGGCGUGACGUCGUACAUGAUAUUCAACAGCUGUAAGCCUGGUUUCUCCUUCCAGUGUUGGAGAGGAUUGUUCGGAUCAAUGACAGUGUGGGAAGAUGGAUCAGCCGUCGAAGCAGAGCCUUGGUUAGCCGCAGAGCCCGGCUUGGUGCUUUUUGUCAGU